GACGAACGCUGGCGGCGUGCUUAACACAUGCAAGUCGAGCGGAAAGGCCCUUCGGGGUACUCGAGCGGCGAACGGGUGAGUAACACGUGGGUAACCUGCCCUUUGCUCUGGGAUAAGCCUGGGAAACUGGGUCUAAUACUGGAUAUGACAUUUACAGGCAUCUGUGGGUGUGGAAAGUUUUUCGGCAGAGGAUGGACCCGCGGCCUAUCAGCUUGUUGGUGGGGUAGUGGCCUACCAAGGCGUUGACGGGUAGCCGGCCUGAGAGGGCGACCGGCCA
rnacentral:rRNA from 1 species